ensembl:rRNA 5S_rRNA 5S ribosomal RNA
GUCAGCAGCCAUAUCACCCUGCAACUCACAACUGGCAACCCACUGAAGCUAAGCAGGUGUGAGCCUGGUCAGUACCUGGAUAAGAGACCAACUGGGAAAAACUAAGGUUGCUGCUGGAA